CUACGUGCCAGCAGCCGCGGUAAUACGUAGGGCGCGAGCGUUGUCCGGAAUUAUUGGGCGUAAAGAGCUUGUAGGCGAUUUGUCGCGUCUGCUGUGAAAGGCCGGGGCUUAACCCCGUGUAUUGCAGUGGGUACGGGCAGACUAGAGUGCAGUAGGGGAGACUGGAAUUCCUGGUGUAGCGGUGGAAUGCGCAGAUAUCAGGAGGAACACCGAUGGCGAAGGCAGGUCUCUGGGCUGUAACUGACGCUGAGAAGCGAAAGCAUGGGGAGCGAACAGGAUUGGAUACCCUGGUAGUCCACGCCGUAAACGAUGAGUGCUAGGUGUUAGACCCUUUCCGGGGUUUAGUGCCGCAGCUAACGCAUUAAGCACUCCGCCUGGGGAGUACGACCGCAAGGUUGAAACUCAAAGGAAUUGACGGGGGCCCGCACAAGCGGUGGAGCAUGUGGUUUAAUUCGAAGCAACGCGAAGAACCUUACCAGGUCUUGACAUCCCUCUGACCGCUCUAGAGAUAG
rnacentral:rRNA from 1 species